CAUGCCAUCCUCUCUUUCUCCUCUCUCUCCAACACCCAAGGGUUGGGCGUCCAAUCUUCCCACAUGCCCAAGGUGUUGGAUGGUUUCUUCUACAUCAAGCAACAAGAAAAAAGACUGCAGUUCAAGUAUUGACAUCGCAGUCAAAGAUCAACGUUUGAUCAAAGUCCAAAAGGUUGAUAUUUAUCUUGAAAAAGAUGGAUCAAUUAUGAAAAGAAAGGUUAAAGAUUGAUCCCGAUGGAUACCUAUAAAGGCUGGAUACGU
rnacentral:lncRNA from 1 species